rnacentral:misc_RNA from 1 species
GCAAUUUAUUCCAAGCCACCUUUUCUUCAUUUUUUUAUUGCUUGAAAUGCUAAGCAUUUUUCCAUGAUGGUGGACCAAUGACUGGAAUUAGGUCAAUAGCUUCUUAUGGGCCGACCAUCUUUUGAAAAGAGCGCAGGAGAUUAUUAAUAUAGAUGAAUAUACUGUGUAAAAUGGGUUUAAAUAUUCGAACAAUGACUGAGUGUCAUUUAAUUCAACGAGAAGUGGGUAGGGUUCACACAACAUGGGUUGUCAAACACUUACGCCUUCGUCUGUUACAGUAACUUAGUCUUCACCAUCUGAUUUAAUAAGUCUCACUUCUCUCCCUUUAGCCUCUGCGUGCAAAAGAACACUUUCAUCUAGAAUUGAU